rnacentral:rRNA from 1 species
GACGAACGCUGGCGGCGUGCCUAAUACAUGCAAGUCGAGCGAAUCAAUGGGAGCUUGCUCCCUGAGAUUAGCGGCGGACGGGUGAGUAACACGUGGGUAACCUGCCUGUAAGACUGGGAUAACUUCGGGAAACCGGAGCUAAUACCGGAUAAUUUCUUUUCUCGCAUGAGGGAAGAUGGAAAGAUGGUUUUGCUAUCACUUACAGAUGGACCCGCGGCGCAUUAGCUAGUUGGUGAGGUAACGGCUCACCAAGGCGACGAUGCGUAGCCGACCUGAGAGGGUGAUCGGCCACACUGGGACUGAGACACGGCCCAGACUCCUACGGGAGGCAGCAGUAGGGAAUCUUCCGCAAUGGACGAAAGUCUGACGGAGCAACGCCGCGUGAGCGAAGAAGGCCUUCGGGUCGUAAAGCUCUGUUGUUAGGGAAGAACAAGUAUCGGAGUAACUGCCGGUACCUUGACGGUACCUAACCAGAAAGCCACGGCUAACUACGUGCCAGCCGCCGCCGUAA